rnacentral:rRNA from 1 species
UACGUAGGGCGCAAGCGUUGUCCGGAAUUAUUGGGCGUAAAGAGCUCGUAGGCGGCUUGUCACGUCGGGUGUGAAAGUCCGGGGCUCAACUCCGGAUCUGCGGUGGGUACGGGCAGACUAGAGUGAUGUAGGGGAGACUGGAAUUCCUGGUGUAGCGGUGAAAUGCGCAGAUAUCAGGAGGAACACCGAUGGCGAAGGCAGGUCUCUGGGCAUUAACUGACGCUGAGGAGCGAAAGCAUGGGGAGCGAACAGG